AGAGUUUGAUCAUGGCUCAGAUUGAACGCUGGCGGCAGGCCUAACACAUGCAAGUCGAACGGUAACAGGAAGAAGCUUGCUUCUUUGCUGACGAGUGGCGGACGGGUGAGUAAUGUCUGGGAAACUGCCUGAUGGAGGGGGAUAACUACUGAAACGGUAGCUAAUACCGCAUAACGUCGCAAGACCAAAGAGGGGGACCUUCGGGCCUCUUGCCAUCGGAUGUGCCCAGAUGGGAUUAGCUAGUAGGUGGGGUAACGGCUCACCUAGGCGACGAUCCCUAGCUGGUCUGAGAGGAUGACCAGCCACACUGGAACUGAGACACGGUCCAGACUCCUACGGGAGGCAGCAGUGGGGAAUAUUGCACAAUGGGCGCAAGCCUGAUGCAGCCAUGCCGCGUGUAUGAAGAAGGCCUUCGGGUUGUAAAGUACUUUCAGCGGGGAGGAAGGGAGUAAAGUUAAUACCUUUGCUCAUUGACGUUACCCGCAGAAGAAGCACCGGCUAACUCCGUGCCAGCAGCCGCGGUAAUACGGAGGGUGCAAGCGUUAAUCGGAAUUACUGGGCGUAAAGCGCACGCAGGCGGUUUGUUAAGUCAGAUGUGAAAUCCCCGGGCUCAACCUGGGAACUGCAUCUGAUACUGGCAAGCUUGAGUCUCGUAGAGGGGGGUAGAAUUCCAGGUGUAGCGGUGAAAUGCGUAGAGAUCUGGAGGAAUACCGGUGGCGAAGGCGGCCCCCUGGACGAAGACUGACGCUCAGGUGCGAAAGCGUGGGGAGCAAACAGGUUUAGAUACCCUGGUAGUCCACGCCGUAAACGAUGUCGACUUGGAGGUUGUGCCCUUGAGGCGUGGCUUCCGGAGCUAACGCGUUAAGUCGACCGCCUGGGGAGUACGGCCGCAAGGUUAAAACUCAAAUGAAUUGACGGGGGCCCGCACAAGCGGUGGAGCAUGUGGUUUAAUUCGAUGCAACGCGAAGAACCUUACCUGGUCUUGACAUCCACGGAAGUUUUCAGAGAUGAGAAUGUGCCUUCGGGAACCGUGAGACAGGUGCUGCAUGGCUGUCGUCAGCUCGUGUUGUGAAAUGUUGGGUUAAGUCCCGCAACGAGCGCAACCCUUAUCCUUUGUUGCCAGCGGUCCGGCCGGGAACUCAAAGGAGACUGCCAGUGAUAAACUGGAGGAAGGUGGGGAUGACGUCAAGUCAUCAUGGCCCUUACGACCAGGGCUACACACGUGCUACAAUGGCGCAUACAAAGAGAAGCGACCUCGCGAGAGCAAGCGGACCUCAUAAAGUGCGUCGUAGUCCGGAUUGGAGUCUGCAACUCGACUCCAUGAAGUCGGAAUCGCUAGUAAUCGUGGAUCAGAAUGCCACGGUGAAUACGUUCCCGGGCCUUGUACACACCGCCCGUCACACCAUGGGAGUGGGUUGCAAAAGAAGUAGGUAGCUUAACCUUCGGGAGGGCGCUUACCACUUUGUGAUUCAUGACUGGGGUGAAGUCGUAACAAGGUAACCGUAGGGGAACCUGCGGUUG
rnacentral:rRNA from 1 species